rnacentral:lncRNA from 1 species
CUCCCCUUCAUCCAAUGCCUAGAUCCGAUGGUGAUCAAAUCUAAGAGAGAAAAAGAGAGAGAAGAAGAGAAGAAGAGAAGAAGAAGGUUCUUCUUCUCUUCAUGGUGAUCUGGUUCAAAUCCUAUCGGAUCUGUGCGAAAAAGUUUGUGCAGUGAUAUUCUUCUUUAAGAUUUGAAAAAAGAGAUCAAGAUCCAAGGAUGAGGAGCGAGAUCUGCAAGGUGCUAGCACACCAAUGAUCUUGAUGCUCUGAUAAGAUGGCUUCAUGUGGAUACCAACAGAGGUCAGAUG